rnacentral:rRNA from 1 species
GACGAACGCUGGCGGCGUGCUUAACACAUGCAAGUCGAACGGGUCUGCCCUGUUUUUUGCGGGGUGGGUCAGUGGCGAACGGGUGAGUAACACGUGAGUAACCUGCCCCUCACUUCUGGAUAACCGCUUGAAAGGGUGGCUAAUACGGGGUGUUCUGGCUGUGCCGCAUUGUGUGGCUGGGAAAGAUUCACUUUUGUGGUGUUUUGGUGGGGGAUGGGCUCGCGGCCUAUCAGCUUGUUGGUGGGGUGAUGGCCUGCCAAGGCUUUGACGGGUAGCCGGCCUGGGAGGGUGGGCGGUAAUGCUGGGACGGAGAGACGGCGCAGACUACGGCAGGAGGCAGCAGGGGGGGGUAUUGCACAAUGGGCGGAAGGAUGAUGCAGCGACGUCGCGGGAGGGAUGGAGGCCUUAGGGUUGUGAACCUCUUUCGCCGGUGAAGAAGGGCCUGCUCUUUGUGGUGGGGUUGACGGUAGCCGGGUUAUGAAGCGCCGGCUAACUACGUG